rnacentral:ncRNA from 1 species
UAUCUUCAGGGCAACGUGAAAAUCGUGACCGGUGGUAAAUAGAAAUAUGAGCCCACGAGCUUUUCAUAAGAGCUGAGUUGAUCUGGUUGGUCAGCAAGGCUUAAGGAAAUAGCAGAUCUGGUGUGAUCCCAGAGCCGACAGUAAAGUCUGGAUGAAAGAAGAUG